rnacentral:rRNA from 1 species
UACGUAGGGGGGCGAGCGUUGUCCGGAUUUAUUGGGCGUAAAGAGCGUGUAGGCGGCCAGGUAGGUCUGCUGUGAAAACUCGAGGCUCAACCUCGAGACGUCGGCGGAAACCAUCUGGCUAGAGUCCGGAAGAGGAGAGUGGAAUUCCUGGUGUAGCGGUGAAAUGCGCAGAUAUCAGGAAGAACACCCGUGGCGAAGGCGGCUCUCUGGGACGGUACUGACGCUGAGAGCGAAAAGCGUGGGGAGCGAACGGG